rnacentral:rRNA from 1 species
UGGGGAAUAUUGCACAGUGGGCGCAAGCCUGAUGCAGUCAUGCCGCGUGUAUGAAGAAGGCCUUCGGGUUGUAAAGUACUUUCAGUCGGGAGGAAGGUGUCAAGGUUAAUAACCUUGGCAAUUGACGUUACCGACAGAAGAAGCACCGGCUAACUCCGUGCCAGCAGCCGCGGUAAUACGGAGGGUGCAAGCGUUAAUCGGAAUUACUGGGCGUAAAGCGCACGCAGGCGGUUGAUUGAGUCAGAUGUGAAAUCCCCGGGCUUAACCCGGGAAUUGCAUCUGAUACUGGUCAGCUAGAGUCUUGUAGAGGGGGGUAGAAUUCCAUGUGUAGCGGUGAAAUGCGUAGAGAUGUGGAGGAAUACCGGUGGCGAAGGCGGCCCCCUGGACAAAGACUGACGCUCAGGUGCGAAAGCGUGGGGAGCAAACAGG